ACGACAAUCAGUGGCGACUGGCGAAGCAGAGUUGGUCGAUAGAAAUUAAUAAACGGUGAAAUUUGACAAUAAAAUAAUUUGUAAACGGUCACCAUAAUUAUACACUGAUCAAUUUUGCGUUUUCAGCAAAAAUGGGAUUUUUUUCUAAUUUUGCAUAUAUUAUAUGUCACUGAGUGAAGACUAGUCCUGUAUGGUGCACAUGC